rnacentral:rRNA from 1 species
GUCCACGCCGUAAACGAUGGGUGCUAGGUGUCGCGGGCUUUGACUCCUGCGGUGCCGUAGCUAACGCAUUAAGCACCCCGCCUGGGAAGUACGGCCGCAAGGCUAAAACUCAAAGGAAUUGACGGGGGCCCCGCACAAGCGGUGGAGCAUGUGGUUUAAUUCGACGCAACGCGAAGAACCUUACCUGGGCUAGAAAACGUCGGAACCUGGGAGAAGUCUCGGGGUGCCCUUCGGGGAGCCGGCGGUUAGGUGCUGCAUGGCUGUCGU